CCCAACCUCGCCCUCAACUCCAGCCCCAGCAGCCUCCUGGAAGAGGGGAUGGGGGUCCCAGGCUGGCGGUCGGGGGUAGGGAGCGGGUGACCCCCGGCAGGAGAGCCGGGACGCACCGGGCAGAAGGUCUCAGUGCCCGCCCGAAGCCAGGCCAUCCUGACUCUGGAAUCUCCAUCUUAACACCUGCCGUCUUGGAGUCUCCUGCGGCUAUUAAUAGCCAACUUCUUCACUUGAGCACCCAAGUGACUGCUGGAGAUAUGAAAAGGGUAGAAGGAAACACAGGAGGGACCGGCAAUGCUGAGCACAGCGAGGGCCUACCCGGCUAUACUUAGAAAGCGCUGUCUUCAGAGACAAAGAAGCUCUCUCCACAGUGUGCAAGGCCCACAAGGAGGUAGGACCCAAACUUCUGUAAUAUCUGUCAGGUCAAGGUCAUGUCAAACACAGCUCUCUACAUUCCCAGAGAAGGCUUACAGAAGAACCCUCAGCGAUGCUUUCUUGGGGGAAUGAUUUAAAGUUUCUUUUGGUGGGUAAUUUGGGCAAGAAGAGAGCUAAUAAAAUGGAAUCUGUUAGAGUAUAAGCCAGAGGUAAAUUACCUUCUUCACACAGAUUAACAUUUUUACGGUGUCAGUGAAACUAGGUUUCCCCCUUUGAGCUCCCGUGGCUAAAGGCUGACAUUUCACGGUUUCAUUUGCACCUGGUCAAGCCCACAUUUUCUUCUCACUUUGAGGGGGAGCAACAGAAGGCAGGUCACGAGAGGAGAAGCACAAUCACUCGGUUCACAUGAGAGAGCAAAGCAGACCUGAACACGGGAAGGGAGCUUGAGGAUGGUGGUUUUGGUGGCAAGGAGCGACUGUUGCUGGCUGUAUGACUGCAGAGUAACAACGAAACCAAACAAAAUAAUCUUAAGACUCUUAACAGGCUCCUACCCCUUUCUUAUUCUUUGUGAGACACAAGGAGGGAGCAGGAGCUUCUAAGAACGAACCAUUCAGCUUUUCUCAAAAGUCAACAGGCAGGGACACAGCUGGUUUCAAACUCAGUGAACUGAAACAGCAACAGGGGCCAAAGGUGCAGAAAGCAAACUUAUUUAUAAU